rnacentral:rRNA from 1 species
CCUACGGGUGGCAGCAGUGGGGAAUAUUGCACAAUGGGGGAAACCCUGAUGCAGCGACGCCGCGUGAGUGAAGAAGUCAUUCGUUAUGUAAAGCUCUAUCAGCAGGGAAGAAAAUGCCGGUACCUGUGUAAGACGCCCCGGCUAACUACGUGCCAGCAGCCGCGGUAAUACGUAGGGGCCACGCGUUAUCCGGUUUUACGGGUGGUAAAGGGAGCGUAGGCGGUUUAGCAAAACAGAUGUGAAAGCCCCGGGCUUAACUCCGGGAUUGCUUUUGAAACUGUUGAACUAGAUUGCAGGAGAGGGAAGUGGAAUUCCUAGUGUAGCGGUGAAAUGCGUAGAUAUGAGGAGGAACACCAGUGGCGAAGGCAGCUUACUGGACUAUAAAUGACGCUGAGGCUCGAAAGCGUGGGGAGCAAACAGGAUUAGAUACCCGUGUAGUC